rnacentral:rRNA from 1 species
UACGAAGGGUGCAAGCGUUACUCGGAAUUACUGGGCGUAAAGCGUGCGUAGGUGGUUUGUUAAGUCUGUUGUGAAAGCCCCGGGCUCAACCUGGGAAUGGCAAUGGAUACUGGCAAGCUAGAGUGCGGUAGAGGGUAGUGGAAUUCCCGGUGUAGCGGUGAAAUGCGUAGAGAUCGGGAGGAACACCAGUGGCGAAGGCGGCUACCUGGACCAGCACUGAUACUGAGGCACGAAAGCGUGGGGAGCAAACAGG